rnacentral:rRNA from 1 species
AGAGUUUGAUCAUGGCUCAGGACGAACGCUGGCGGCGUGCUUAACACAUGCAAGUCGAACGGUGACGGAGAGCUUGCUCUCCUGAUCAGUGGCGAACGGGUGAGUAACACGUGGGCAACCUGCCCCAGACUUCGGGAUAACGCUUCGAAAGAGGUGCUAAUACCGAAUACGAACCUCCCUGGCAUCUGGGAGGUUGGAAAGUUUUCGGUCUGGGAUGGGCCCGCGGCCUAUCAGCUUGUUGGUGAGGUAACGGCUCACCAAGGCGACGACGGGUAGCCGGCCUGAGAGGGCGACCGGCCACACUGGGACUGAGACACGGCCCAGACUCCUACGGGAGGCAGCAGUGGGGAAUAUUGCGCAAUGGGCGAAAGCCUGACGCAGCAACGCCGCGUGAGGGAUGACGGCCUUCGGGUUGUAAACCUCUUUCAGCAGGGAAGAAGCGAAAGUGACGGUACCUGCAGAAGAAGCACCGGCCAACUACGUG